AUGUGCUAACAGCAAAUGGUACACUUUUGAAUGUGUUCACCAUCUCCACCCAACUGGCACGUACCUCACAAAGAAUCAAGCGCACCCAUCCCUUUUACUUCUCAAACUCAGCAGCCAAAUCUUUAAGGUAACUUGGCUCACCUGUGCUCAGAAUGAUCUUUCUUCAAAAAACCUCAGCUGAAAGCUUCCUCAAAGACACCACUGGUUUUUAACCUACUCUGUGGCUACUCAUUGACUACUCUGUAACCUACUCAUGUGAACCACUGCUCAUGUGACCACAUGUUCAUAUGCUGUUGAUGAGAUUCAUCUAAAGAAAAGAAAAAGAAAAAAUAAAUAAAAGAUGUCACUGAGAUGAGUUGUACCUGCAUCUCUUUGGAGGAAGAAAGCCUUUUCAAGUUUGGGCAAAAGCUGAGGUGGCUUAAGAGAGCAAAAAACUUGACAGCGAUGCAUAACUAUCUGCUUUUUCCUACAUUUUCAAUUGCUUAUGUUGAUCAAAAUGUAUUGCAGAUAUUUGAUUUGUCUCAACCCCCACAACAUUUAAGAAUAAAUUUGCUGCAUAAGUCUUAAAUAUGCAAAAUGCUUGAACAAGUUGUCAAGCAUAUUUAUAUCUAUUUCAGACACCUUUUCCUAAAUCUGUCCUGAAGUGAUCAAUUGCUCCCAGGUGAAGUUUCUCCAACGUAGGAUGAGGAUUUGGACGGGGUCAGAACAGAAGAGGCAAAGGAGACAGAGGAUAUGUCCGUUUCGAUAACUUGUCCUCCUCCAUCAUCAUCAUCAGGAUAUGGUUUACGACCCACAACAGGAUGCCUCUCACCCUGCUCUCCAUUACUUUACACCACUGAGGAUUUAUUUUUCUCGGCAUGGAGAUGGAAAGUAUAUAAAGACUGCACUGUUGUCCCUACUGCAUGCAAAGUUUUUACUUAAGGAGAUGGUCUCGUGUUCCCAUUUUUUUUUCUGUGUUCUGCUUAUUGUAUCACAAUGGUGUGGUCUGUCAACAAAUUACACUAAAGGAAAUGAAUGUGAA